rnacentral:rRNA from 1 species
CUUAGUGGCGGACGGGUGAGUAACGCGUGGGUAACCUGCCUCACACUGGGGGAGUAACAGUUAGAAAUAGCUGCUAAUACCGCAUAAGCGCACAGUUCCGCAUGGAACAGUGUGAAAAACUCCGGUGGUGUGAGAUGGACCCGCGUCUGAUUAGCCAGUUGGCGGGGUAACGGCCCACCAAAGCGACGAUCAGUAGCCGGCCUGAGAGGGUGAACGGCCACAUUGGGACUGAGACACGGCCCAAACUCCUACGGGAGGCAGCAUG